rnacentral:rRNA from 1 species
UGGCUCAGAACGAACGCUGGCGGCGCGUUUUAAGCAUGCAAGUCGAGCGGCAAGGGCCUUUGGGCCCCUAGAGCGGCGGACGGGUGAGUAACACGUGGACAAUCUGCCCCCCGGCCGGGGAUAGCCCAGGGAAACCUGGAUUAAUACCGGAUGAGACGGGACGCACGAUGGUGCGGUCCGGGAAAGGCGCUGCGGCGCCGCCGGGGGAUGAGUCCGCGACCCAUUAGCUGGACGGCGGGGUAAAGGCCCACCGUGGCGACGAUGGGUAGCCGGCCUGAGAGGGUGGACGGCCACAUUGGAACUGAGACACGGUCCAGACUCCUACGGGAGGCAGCAGCUAAGAAUCUUCCGCAAUGGGCGAAAGCCUGACGGAGCGACGCCGCGUGAACGAAGAAGGCCGUGAGGUUGUAAAGUUCUUUUCGGGAGGGGGAAUUACCGUGGCAGGGAAUGGCCGCGGGAUGACGUGAAUCCCGGAACAAGCCCCGGCUAACUACGUGCCAGCAGCCGCGGUAACACGUAGGGGGCGAGCGUUGUUCGGAAUCAUUGGGCGUAAAGGGCGUGCAGGCGGCACUGCAAGUCCGGCGUGAAAGACCCCGGCCCAACCGGGGGGGUGCGCUGGAAACUGCGGUGCUUGAGUACAGGAGGGGAUGCCGGAAUUCCAGGUGUAGGGGUGAAAUCUGUAGAUAUCUGGAAGAACACCGAUGGCGAAGGCAGGCAUCUGGCCAUGUACUGACGCUGAGACGCGAAGGUGCGGGGAGCAAACAGGUUUAGAUACCCUGGUAGUCCGCACAGUAAACGAUGUGCACCAGGGUGGCGGGGGUAGAACCCCCGGUACCGUAGCAAACGCAUUAAGUGCACCGCCUGGGGAGUAUGCUCGCAAGGGUGAAACUCAAAGGAAUUGACGGGGGCCCGCACAAGCGGAGGAGCAUGUGGUUUAAUUCGAUGAUACGCGAGGAACCUUACCUGGGCUCGAACGUAAGAUGACUGUAGGUGAAAGCUUACAUCUCUUCGGAGCAUUUUACGAGGUGCUGCAUGGUUGUCGUCAGCUCGUGCCGUGAGGUGUCGGGUUAAGUCCCAUAACGAGCGCAACCCCUACCUUUAGUUGCCAUCAGGUAAUGCUGGGGACUCUAAAGGAACUGCCUACGCAAGUAGUGAGGAAGGCGGGGAUGACGUCAAAUCAGCACGGCCCUUACGUCCAGGGCUACACACGUGCUACAAUGGCCGAUACAGAGGGCAGCUACCUGGUGACAGGAUGCAAAUCUCCAAAGUCGGUCUCAGUUCGGAUCGGAGUCUGCAACCCGACUCCGUGAAGUUGGAUUCGCUAGUAAUCGCGCAUCAGCCAUGGCGCGGUGAAUACGUUCCCGGGCCUUGUACACACCGCCCGUCAAGCCAUGGAAGCUGGGGGGACCUAAAGUCGAUAACCGCAAGGAGUCGCCUAGGGUAAAACCAGUGACUGGGGCUAAGUCGUAACAAGGUAACCG